AAUCUCCCAAGAGGAUGUACACAAAGUAAAAGAUGUUUUUUAAGGGGUUAGAAGGACAAAGUAAAAAACAAAGUUGUUUUUGUGAACACAGCUGGCCAACAUAUUACAUAACUUCAGAUAUAAGAUAAAAUGCUAAAAACAUGCUUGUCGUCUGAUGCUCUGAACAGCUUCAAUAAAUACUGCAGCUGUGAUCAUGAGGCUGCUGUUUGCCUGAGCGAGCUGCAGUCCUCUGAUCCUGUUCCCCACUUCUUGCCUCUCAUUUUGCAACACCGACACCGAGACACUCGGGGAAUCAGCGACAUUUGGCGCCCCAACAGGGACUCAGCAGCUCUCCGUGUCUCCUCUAGAAGGAGACCUCAACAAGAACAGGGACCUGAGGACUUGAAGACUCAGGGACUCAAAGACGAUCUCGCUCCCCCGAUGGUCAAACUGAGACUGACAGGGAGAGGAACACAGGUGUGAGUGCUGCGACCUUGGACUAAUCGUGCACCAGACCUUACAUGGGGUCAAAUGAAACGCUUCUGCCAUCAGUCUGAAACUAUUGUUCUUCAGCAGCAUCAACCUGUGACCGCUUCUCCAUUGUUUAUCACCAUGAUAGCUCUUCUGUCAGCUCAGUCUGCCGAAGACAACAAAUCCGUGAAGUAAAAGAGACACAAAAAACAGCUGUGUUCACAAUUUUGAUGCAUGAACUAACCAUAAACAAAAAGGGAGAAAUGUAGUGGAACUUGACAUAAGAACAUCCAUCUUGGAAGAAACAUAAGGACAUCUAAGGGCCUGGCGAGCCAGUCGUCUCAGGACAAGAAGUGCAAGCAAUUCUUGUUUGUCCCUUGUAAAUCUCCCAAGAGGAUGUACACAAAGUAAAAGAUGUUUUUUAAGGGGUUAGAAGGACAAAGUAAAAAACAAAGUUGUUUUUGUGAACACAGCUGGCCAAAAUAUUAUAUAACUUCAGAUAUAAGAUAAAAUGCUAAAAACAUGCUUGUCGUCUGAUGCUCUGAAUAGCUUCAAUAAAUAUUGCAGUUGUGAUCAUGAGGCUGCUGUUUGCCUGAGCGAGCUGCAGUCCUCUGAUCCUGCUCCCCGCAUCUUGCCUCUCUUCAUUUUGCGACAC